AAACAGUUUAACUUUCAAGUGAAUUCUGUAAACAAUCAUACAAUUUAUCUGGAGGUCAAAUUGAUAUACACUUUUGAAAGCGAAAUUGUAUGUGACCUGGAACCAAAUGUAGUGUGCCAUUUGAUUGGUGAUUAUCCUAUACAUAUCGAAAAAUUCAAGCCAUGCAAAAAGAAGAAUGUAAACUUAGUGGUUGUAUUAGUUCCAUUAUUCAGCAUAUGUUUGUUGAUAUCACUUGUGGUUUGUGUAGUAAUAUGUAUAAGACGAAGAAUACAUUCAAAGAAAACACCAGAAAGGAAAUAUCAAGAAGUUAAUCAAAAUUCCCAAAACAACAGUUAGUAAAAUGAACAGCUGUUGAUAAAGGAAUAUGAACAAAUAUCGAAAGAAACGAAAGAAAUAGUAGUUGGAACUAAAAAAAAAGUCAGAUUAUGAAAUAUUGAUAACAAUUGCAUUAUGUGUACGUACUGUGAUGCAAAAGGCAUACUAGUAGCUCAGUAUUUCAAUAUUACCAUUUCUACAUAAAACAUUAGAGGGAAAUUGAAUUGUAUACCUUUACUGCAUAUAUGUAGAAGAAGGUCAAAAUUUAAAGUAAAUUACAGUUCCGAAAUGAUGUAAACUUACCACUUAGACCAUAUUAAAGUAAGCAGAUGAGACAACUCUCCGUCAAUUGAAAUAUAAUUUAACACCUAUAUGUCACCGUACGGCCUUCAACAAUGGACAAAACCAUUAUUCUAUGAACCAACAUCAUUACCCCAUUUCACUAUACACAAAUAUACCUUAAAGCAUUACAUCGUACAUCAUUCUCAUUUUCCUUUGAAUCAUACACGAUUUGCAUCAUUCAACAUUAUUAAUAAUGUAACAAGUUUAAGGGAAUUGCAAAUGUCAAUAUCUAUUUAUAUUUAUAAGAACGAACUAGAAUUAAAAAACCCUUCACCGAAUAUUAUGCACCAAACUCUAUUCCCCAUGUAUAAUACAACAUUCGCCUUUGUACCAAUCACCAAACACCAUUACACCAUACACUUUCUUUAGGAAGGCUACAUCAUUCAAAGGCUGUAUAUGAUAUUACUUGAUAUAUUGAUAUACUGUAUACGGUAUUACUUGUACAUAUAUAUUGUAUAUAUAUAUUUCUCAUCAUAACAUUAUAUUUGAUGAGUUUUUACAAAAUAAUAUGCAAUCAAAAUAUAACGCAUUACGAUAGUUUGUUUCCACUUUAUACUCGUACUUGUCAUAGUUUCUAUAUGGUGAUCCUCUUAAGCAUGUAUGAUUGGUUACGUGGAUUGCAUUCAUUAUUGAUGAAGAUAUAUUUUCUUGAUAAUUUUUAUAUAGACCUCAUCAAAUAAUAAUUAUUAUAACAAGGCAGCUGUAUUGCUUAAAUACAUAUCUAAUGAUUGUUAUUAUUUGUUAUAUAAACAAAAAUCGGUGCAUUUGAUAUUGAGCAACAGGUUAACAUGUACCAAAGUAUAUAAUGUUACAAGGCAUUUUUACAAAAUAAUAUGCAUUUGAUUAUUGUAAAAAUAUGAUUUCUCAUGUAUAUCUAAUGUAUAUUUUGUAAGAUUUAUUAAAGUUUAAAUGUUUUUAAAGAAGAAUUUUUACCCGAACUGUCUUUCAAUACUAUGAAAUGGCAAAUGUGUUAUCAAUUCAUAGGUUUAUGUACAUUUCUUAUCACCAAUCUUGAUAACUGACAAUUCUUUAUUCAAAUAAUUCGGAAAUUUGUUUCAGUUAAAGUUGUUUUUAAAUGCAGUAAGAGACCGACCAGUGUAUUAUCUGUCAUAAAAUAAAUAUUCAGUUCUGGUAAGAACUGAGAGUUGCUUUAAAAAUUAGAAAAAAAAAUUUACCUCAAAAUUUGCAAGGAAUACAUGUGUUCAAACGUGACAAUAGAUGUUCUCGCUGCAACAAAACACUUUAAAAAACUAGACUUGCAAACUUUGAUAAUUAAUAGUCCUUCAGAAAAACUAUCCUGUCCCCUCCAGAAUGUAAAAUGGUCGUCCACUAAUAACCUCUUGUAAUAUAACAGAACAAAACAGUUUAAAUCAUAAUUUUCAAACACACAUCUAAUAAUGAAAAUCUGGUGCUUUAGACAUUUUGUAUUGUUAUGUAUUUGUAUUUGUAUUUGUAAUAUGAAAUACAAAACUAAUCUAUAUAACAUUGGUUUAAGUUUACUUUUAGGUGAUAAACCAUUUUCGACAAACAACUGUAAUGAUAUCAAGUCAAAAUAUUAAGAUACGGAUUCUAUAUAUGCAUUAAACAAUGUUCAUUAGCAGUGCCAUAUUAUAAUUGAAAUAAUGGUUGUAGAAAAAAGUAAAAUCACAAAAAUACUGACCUCCGAGGAAAAUUCAAAAAGGAGAGUCCCUAAUCAAAUGGCAAAAUCAAAAGCUCAAACACAUAUUAUUGAAAAAUUAUGAAAAAUGUUCAUUGCAUUUCCAUCAAAUAUUUACUUAAGGCUACAUUUGAAUACUGUGCUGCCAACAACGGAUUGAUAUUUAUAAAUCAUUUUGUAGUUUUGGUAUACAUUCCAAGAUUGGGUUUACAGAAAUUUUGCGGUAAUAUAAUAUAUUUGAAAAUUAAAAGAUAAAGAGUGACUCUUCUUCAAUAAAUGAAGAGAACUCUAUAAUGUUCUUGGCAUAAGUUAAGUGUCCAUUUGUAGUUAAAACAAUGCAUGAUGAAUAACGUUUCUGAGUCAUGAUUCUCCUAUUAGAUAUGUACUUUAUUAGAUAAAAUGGAAAGAUAUUUGUCUUAAAUACAUUAACGUUUCUGAGAACUGUGAAGACUCUUUAGAUAUGUACUUUAUUAAAUAAAAUGGAAAGAUAUUUGUCUUAAAUACAUUUACGUUUCUUAGAACUGUGAAGACUCUUAAACAACACAAUGGCAUGUAAUAGCUAUAAGUUCCUUAGACUAUUAAUGAUUUAAUUAUUCAUUUGACAUAAUCAUUUUAAUAAAAUCUUACACAACUGUAUGCAUAAAACAUGUUAUGUUCAAAUGAUUAUGCGAAUGUAAGUGAGAUAGUAGAUCUUUUAUACAUAAAACUCCGGUGCUUUUUGUUCUGUAUGGGUAUUGCAUUUUUAUAUGAAUUAUUGUAUGUAUACAUGUUCAUAGAUUUUUGUAAGACUUGUACAAUAAUAUUAGUUUACAGGCAAUGGAUAUAUGAAAAACACUGAAACAAAAUAGUCUUAUCCUUGUCAUUUCAUGGAUAUUAAAAUCCCAUUCCUAUAUUAAUAUCUACAUUUACAUGUAUGCAUGUUUCACACGUAAAAUUGAUUUAUAGUAUAACAUUUAGGAUAUCUUACGGCAUAUUUUGUUAAUAGCGAACAAAAAGGUUAAACAUGCUACACAGAAGAACAAGCGAUCAGUUUGCUGGAGUUUCUUAUUGAUAACAUAUUUGUUGAAUUUGGAGGUAGAAUUUUUCAACAAAUUGUCGGCAUUCCUAUGGGAACGAACUGUGCGCCUCUGCUUGCCAACCUCUUCUUAUUUUCAUAUGAUUCGGAGUUCCUUUAGACAAUAGUCAAAAACAAGAAGAUAAAAGAAGCCAUAUAAUUUCACAUUCAGAUAUAUGUUGAUGUUCUAUCUAUUAAAAAACAAACUUUUCUGAUUGGGUUCCAUUAAUAUAUCUUCCAUAUCUAGAAAUUAAAGAAACAACGCAUGCGGCUUCAUCCGCCUCAUGUUUAGACUUAUAAUACAAGUGAGAGGUUUAACUAGCUAUAAAACCAGGUUUAAUCCAUCAUUUUCUAUAUAAGAAAAUGCCUGUACUAAGUCAGGACUAUGAAAGUUGUUAUUGUUAUUUUGCUUUUUGCAAAUUGUAAAAUGUAGCAUUUUCAGAUCUCUCAGGUACAUCCAUUCAAUUUGCAGACGUUUUAAAUUUUUCAUUAAUUGAAGGACAUACAUUUUUGUGUUGCUCUUUUCAUAAAAAUCAACUACAUAAUGAUGUCAUUUUUAGUGAGCAGGUUGUUACGUGUGUGCGUUUUAUCGGAUAAAUCAGCUUCGUGUGUAUUUACUUCCUAUUUUCUGAUACUUUGAUUUCUAAGUGUUUGGAUGCUCAAAACGACACCGCGGCGUUCUUGUGUGGUCUAAAUUGACUUCUACAAUGAUAAGUCUUAGAAUUAUCUGAUACAAAAAAAUGACCACAUUUUGUAAGAGCCGUAUUUUUUAUAUACAUUUUUUAAGAUUUUCAUUUAAUUUUGUUUCAAGGCAAAAUAUUACCUGAAUCAUCGACUUUCAAUAAUGGCACAUUCUUUUCAUGUAAUAUACAUGAUAUAUGGUGAUCUUUUGUAUGAAUCCAUUGAAAAAAAAACACGGGGAAAAUGUACAAUAUUUAUAAUGAAUAUUAGCUAUAACACCUAUUACAUACAUUGUUGAUAACUGUUUCUACCGGUAAAUAUAAUAUAUAAGUAUUUGUUCUUAUUACAUGUAUUAGGUACAAUCUUAUUAUCUUUAGUUGUACUUUUAUAACUUUAUAACCAGAUGUGUUAGUAUAAAAAUUGUGCUAGUGUUAGUAUGAAAAUUGUGCUUGUGUUAGUAUGAAAAUUGUGCUCUUGCCAAGUUUGGCAUACAUAUAUUUUUUUUAAUUUAUGCUGUUAAUGUUAAAUUGAAUACAUGGUGUUUUUAUUCAAAAAAAGAAAUAUUUAUCUGGAUUAAGAACUGACUGAGUAAGUUUUGAAAAUAAUAUGUGGUUUCAUAAAUCAUUAGGUUAUACAUUUUAAACAU